rnacentral:rRNA from 1 species
AGCGAACGCUGGCGGCAGGCUUAACACAUGCAAGUCGAGCGGUGUGAUGGUGCUUGCACUAUCACCUAGCGGCGGACGGGUGAGUAAUGCUUAGGAAUCUGCCUAUUAGUGGGGGACAACAUUUCGAAAGGAAUGCUAAUACCGCAUACGUCCUACGGGAGAAAGCAGGGGAUCUUCGGACCUUGCGCUAAUAGAUGAGCCUAAGUCGGAUUAGCUAGUUGGUGGGGUAAAGGCCUACCAAGGCGACGAUCUGUAGCGGGUCUGAGAGGAUGAUCCGCCACACUGGGACUGAGACACGGCCCAGACUCCUACGGGAGGCAGCAGUGGGGAAUAUUGGACAAUGGGCGCAAGCCUGAUCCAGCCAUGCCGCGUGUGUGAAGAAGGCCUUAUGGUUGUAAAGCACUUUAAGCGAGGAGGAGGCUACUUUAGAUAAUACCUAGAGAUAGUGGACGUUACUCGCAGAAUAAGCACCGGCUAACUCUGUGCCAGCCGCCGCCGUAAGAC